AGAGUUUGAUCAUGGCUCAGAUUGAACGCUGGCGGCAGGCCUAACACAUGCAAGUCGAACGGUAACAGGAAACAGCUUGCUGUUUCGCUGACGAGUGGCGGACGGGUGAGUAAUGUCUGGGAAACUGCCUGAUGGAGGGGGAUAACUACUGGAAACGGUAGCUAAUACCGCAUAACGUCGCAAGACCAAAGAGGGGAACCUUCGGGCCUCUUGCCAUCGGAUGUGCCCAGAUGGGAUUAGCUAGUAGGUGGGGUAAAGGCUCACCUAGGCGACGAUCCCUAGCUGGUCUGAGAGGAUGACCAGCCACACUGGAACUGAGACACGGUCCAGACUCCUACGGGAGGCAGCAGUGGGGAAUAUUGCACAAUGGGCGCAAGCCUGAUGCAGCCAUGCCGCGUGUAUGAAGAAGGCCUUCGGGUUGUAAAGUACUUUCAGCGGGGAGGAAGGGAGUAAAGUUAAUACCUUUGCUCAUUGACGUUACCCGCAGAAGAAGCACCGGCUAACUCCGUGCCAGCAGCCGCGGUAAUACGGAGGGUGCAAGCGUUAAUCGGAAUUACUGGGCGUAAAGCGCACGCAGGCGGUUUGUUAAGUCAGAUGUGAAAUCCCCGGGCUCAACCUGGGAACUGCAUCUGAUACUGGCAAGCUUGAGUCUCGUAGAGGGGGGUAGAAUUCCAGGUGUAGCGGUGAAAUGCGUAGAGAUCUGGAGGAAUACCGGUGGCGAAGGCGGCCCCCUGGACGAAGACUGACGCUCAGGUGCGAAAGCGUGGGGAGCAAACAGGAUUAGAUACCCUG
rnacentral:rRNA from 1 species